CCUUCUUUCAAUAACAAAGUUCUCCAUUCAAAGAUCUCUUUUCUCUUUCAAGCUUCCUCUUCUUUAGUUGAAUCCUCCAAUAGCAAAAGAUCUCCAAAUAAUACUCUUCUUCUGCUAUUCUUUACACUCUAUAGAUUAAGGUGUGCUAGGCUGCUAGCUACCUCGAACACCAUAAUAAAAAAAGGAUUAAUCGAUGAAAAUGUACGUGACAAUUUUCUAUUUUUAGACAAUACGUUGAAUUUAUUAUUUGUAAUACGAUGAAUCCGUUAAUUUAUUAAUAGAUUGAUU
rnacentral:lncRNA from 1 species